UAAGGCGGGAGUAACCCCGGGAAACUGGGGCUAAUACCUGAUAGGCGAAAAAGUCUGGAAUGAUUUUUCACUUAAAGAGUUCUUGGAACAUGCUCCUUUAACUGCUUAAGGAUGAGACUGCGUCCGAUCAGGUUGUUGGUGGGGUAACGGCCUACCAAGCCUAUAACCGGUACGGGCCCUGAGAGGGGGAGCCCGGAGAUGGGAACUGAGACAAGGUCCCAGACCCUACGGGGUGCAGCAGUUGCGAAAACUCUACAAUGCACGAAAGUGUGAUAGGGUUAUCCCGAGUGCCGUCCGAUGAGGAUGGCUUUUACCUGGUGUAAGGAGCCAGGGGAAUAAAGGGGGGGCAAGACUGGUGUCAGCCGCCGCGGUAAUACCAGCCCCCUGAGUGGUAGGGAUGAUUAUUUGGCCUAAAGCGUCCGUAGCCGGCUUAGCAAGUCUUUCGUUAAAUCCGGUGACUCAAUCAUCGGGCUGCGAGAGAUACUACUAGGCUAGAGGACGGGAGAGGUCGACGGUAUUUCGGGGGUAGGGGCAAAAUCCUAUAAUCCUCGGAGGACCACCAGUGGCGAAGGCGGUCGACUAGAACGUGCCUGACGGUGAUGGACGAAAGCUGGGGGAGCAAACCGGAUUAGACACCCGGGUAGUCCCAGCUGUAAACGAUGCGGGCUAGGUGUUGGGGCAGCUACGAGCUGCUCCAGUGCCGCAGAGAAGUCAUUAAGCCCGCCGCCUGGGAAGUACGGUCGCAAGACUGAAACUUA
rnacentral:rRNA from 1 species